UCAUCUUGGCCCAGCAUUCCUGCCCAGCUUCUCCCACGCAAGAGACUUUGUCCAAGUGGAAAGCCUGCACAAAUCCAGGAAGAGGGUCCAGAAUCAAGGGUGUGGAAUACCCUCCACGUGAGGAUCUAGAUGAAGCAAAGCGGCGAUAGAAGAGCACAGUGCUCGUCCCUCUCUCUCCAGCCCUGGAAAAUAGGAAACUGAACGCAGCCCAUGCAUGUGAAACAGGGUGGCACCGAAAAGAAAGCAGAAAAGCAGCCAGGCCAGCUGCUGUGAGGUGGGUCGUGCUGAGAUCUGCUGAGCAAACCCUGAGCAUCUCGAUUACAUGGUACCACCUUCAUCCUAAUGGACCAGCCCCCAAUGGGGAGAGGAAUCUACUGGAAACAGUGUCUUUCCUGUGCUGGCACCCAGAUUAUGGAGCACCCUUCCCAGGCACAAUGAAUUAGACAGCCUACGUGGUUGCAGACCAUACAAGGUUCCCUCUGGCUUUGCACUGAUGCUUUCAAACUGUGCAAAUUAAUGAUGUUCUUACCAUUGCUUUUAUUUCCACAAGUCACGUGGAUUUAUGCUUUAUGAAUCAGGUGAACAGAAAUAAAUGAGGAUAGUGUUGCCAA